AGUGAACGCUGGCGGUAGGCCUAACACAUGCAAGUCGAACGGCAGCACAGUAAGAGCUUGCUCUUACGGGUGGCGAGUGGCGGACGGGUGCGGAAUACAUCGGAAUCUACUUUUUCGUGGGGGAUAACGUAGGGAAACUUACGCUAAUACCGCAUACGACCUACGGGUGAAAGCAGGGGAUCUUCGGACCUUGCGCGAUUGAAUGAGCCGAUGUCGGAUUAGCUAGUUGGCGGGGUAAAGGCCCACCAAGGCGACGAUCCGUAGCUGGUCUGAGAGGAUGAUAAGCCACACUGGAACUGAGACACGGUCCAGACUCCUACGGGAGGCAGCAGUGGGGAAUAUUGGACAAUGGGCGCAAGCCUGAUCCAGCCAUACCGCGUGGGUGAAGAAGGACUUCGGGUUGUAAAGCCCUUUUGUUGGGAAAGAAAAGCAGCAGGUUAAUACCCGGCUGUUCUGACGGUACCCAAAGAAUAAGCACCGGCUAACUUCGUG
rnacentral:rRNA from 1 species